rnacentral:rRNA from 1 species
AUCAGGGGUAAACCUGUGGAACUCGAACGAGCGAACGGGGAGACUCAUCGUUCUUCCGGGGGUUCGCGGCGGGGCGUUUGGCGGUGUUCGCACUGUUCGUUCGCUCCGUCGUCGCAGUCUCCGGGGUGCGUGCACUUCUCCCUUAGUAAAACACCGCGACCCGUUGACGGUCGGUCGAACGCGCCGUGCGGUUGUCCCGUCUCCUUUCGGAGACGGAGCCGCGGCGUCGCGGCCGACUGUCGACGGUAAUGAACGAGGUUUGCGUCCGCCUUUGGCGUCCGCGAUUCGGCGGCGUCGUUCUCCAUCGGAUCUUCUGCGCUACGCGCUGUAGGAACCCGGUGUGCGGAACGGCGCGUCUGUUGAGUCAGCUCGGACGGGACGCGUCCCGGUCGGCGGUGGUUUGUUUCGGGCACUCACAGGACCC